AAAGUUUCCUUCGGGAGAUGAGUAGAGUGGCGCACGGGUGAGUAACACGUAGGUAAUCUACCUUUGGAUGGGGAAUAACAAUCGGAAACGAUUGCUAAUACCGCAUAAUGCAGCGGCACCUAAUGGUGACAGUUGUUAAAGCGGGGGAUCGAAAGACCUCGCGUCUGAAGAGGAGCCUGCGGCGGAUUAGCUAGUUGGUAAGGUAAUGGCUUACCAAGGCUACGAUCCGUAACCGGCCUGAGAGGGCGGUCGGUCACACUGACACUGACAUACGGGUCAGACUCCUACGGGAGGCAGCAGUCGGGAAUUUUGGGCAAUGGGCGAAAGCCUGACCCAGCAACGCCGCGUGAAGGAUGAAAUCCCUCGGGAUGUAAACUUCGCAAGAACGGGAAGAAUAAGUGGAAGUUAAUACCUUCCAUGAUGACGGUACCGUUUGUAAGCUCCGGCUAACUCCGUGCCAGCAGCCGCGGUAAUACGGGGGGAGCAAGCGUUGUUCGGAUUUACUGGGCGUAAAGGGCGCGUAGGCGGCCAGCACAAGUCAGUUGUGAAAUCUCCGAGCUUAACUCGGAAAGGUCAACUGAUACUGUGCGGCUAGAGUGCAGAAGGGGCAACUGGAAUUCUUGGUGUAGCGGUGAAAUGCGUAGAUAUCAAGAGGAACACCUGCGGCGAAGGCGGGUUGCUGGGCUGACACUGACGCUGAGGCGCGAAAGCUAGGGGAGCGAACGGGAUUAGAUACCCCGGUAGUCCUAGCCUUAAACGAUGAAUGCUUGGUGUCUGGGGUUAUAAAGUCCCCGGGUG
rnacentral:rRNA from 1 species